AGAACACAAGACAAAACUUGCUUACUUUGGUCAACGGAAUAGUUCUGGUCUCUGAGAUAUGGCUUCAUAUUUACAGAGGCCCCCUCCCUUCAUCUUAGAGUUGUUCAUGUCUAACAGGACUGGAACAAGGAGCAAAAUCAGCAGCAUUGAAAAUUAGUGAAUUUAAAAGUGAUAAAAAUGAGUGCUAAUUGUGGACUCCCUAUCUCAGGAGAUCAUUAGGACAAACAGGUGAAAAGAGUAGAAGGCGGCAGAGGAAGUUUUGAACUUUGACAAUAAGCCUGCAAUUUUACCUGCAAGGAAGAGAUGGAGAACUGUCAAAGAAAAGCUGAAGAUUCCUUUGAUAGCCCAUUGUAGCAGUAGCAGUUUUACUUUAUUUAAUAUAAGAACUGUGAUCCAACCUCUGCACAUUUUGUCUGAUGGAAAUACCUGUAUGGAGAUGCAGGAUAAAAUAAAAUAAG